rnacentral:Y_RNA from 1 species
CCGGCGAAUGCCGGCGGAACUACAGCGCUGUUAACGCCCAGGUUGCGGGUUCGAAUCCCGUCGCGGCCGCCACACACCAUUCACGGGCAGGGUUUUCCCGCCUGUCGGAUCGGUGCCCCAACGGGGACUAUGGCCGCGUAGCUCAACGGAAGAGCAGGUCAUGUUUCGCCACCCCUUUGUCGCCGGGAC